GCCUGGGUGGCUCAGUCGGUUGAGCAUCUGACUUCGGCUCAGGUCAUGAUCUCGCAGUUCAUGAGUUCAAGCCCUGCAUCAGGCU
rnacentral:tRNA from 1 species